rnacentral:rRNA from 1 species
AAGCCAUGCAUGUCUAAGUAUAAACGAUUUAAUCGUGAAACCGCGAAUGGCUCAUUAUAACAGCUAUAAUUUACUUGAUCUUGACACAAUCCUACUUGGAUAACUGUGGUAAUUCUAGAGCUAAUACAUGCAUUAAAGCUCUGACCUCACGGGAAGAGUGCAUUUAUUAGAACAAAACCAAGCGGCUUCGGCUGUUUCUGGUUGACUCAUAGUAACUGAGCUGAUCGCAUGGUCUUGCACCGGCGACGUGUCUUUCAAGUAUCUGCCGUAUCAACUUUCGAUGGUAGUGUAUCUGACUACCAUGGUGAUCACGCGUAACGGAGAAUAAGGGUUCGGCUCCGGAGAGUUCGCCUGAGAAAUCGCGAACACAUCUAAGGAAGGCAGCAGGCGCGAAAAUUACCCACUCUCAGCACGAGGAGGUAGUGACGAAAAAUAACGAGACCGUUCUCUUAUGAGGCCGGUCAUCGGAAUGGGUACAAUUUAAACCCUUUAACGAGUAUGUAU